rnacentral:rRNA from 1 species
AACCCGACUACAUGAAGCUGGAAUCGCUAGUAAUCGCGGAUCAGAAUGCCGCGGUGAAUACGUUCCCGGGUCUUGUACACACCGCCCGUCACACCAUGGGAGUCGGAAAUGCCCGAAGUCGGUGACCCAACCUUUAAGGAGGGAGCUGUCGAAGGCAGGUCUGGUAACUGGGGUGAAGUCGUAACAAGGUAAC